rnacentral:rRNA from 1 species
GAUGAACGCUGGCGGCGUGCCUAAUACAUGCAAGUCGAGCGAACAGACGAGGAGCUUGCUCCUCUGACGUUAGCGGCGGACGGGUGAGUAACACGUGGAUAACCUACCUAUAAGACUGGGAUAACUUCGGGAAACCGGAGCUAAUACCGGAUAAUAUAUUGAACCGCAUGGUUCAAUAGUGAAAGACGGUUUUGCUGUAACUUAUAGCUGGAUCCGCGCCGCAUUAGCUAGUUGGUAAGGUAACGGCUUACCAAGGCGACGAUGCGUAGCCGACCUGAGAGGGUGAUCGGCCACACUGGAACUGAGACACGGUCCAGACUCCUACGGGAGGCAGCAGUAGGGAAUCUUCCGCAAUGGGCGAAAGCUUGACGGAGCAACGCCGCGUGAGUGAUGAAGGUCUUCGGAUCGUAAAACUCUGUUAUUAGGGAAGAACAAAUGUGUAAGUAACUAUGCACGUCUUGACGGUACCUAAUCAGAAAGCCACGGCUAACUACGUG